AGAACGAACGCUGGCGGCAUGCCUAAUACAUGCAAGUCGAACGAACACUUCGGUGUUAGUGGCGCACGGGUGCGUAACGCGUGGGAAUCUGCCCUUGGGUUCGGAAUAACAGUUGGAAACGACUGCUAAUACCGGAUGAUAUCGAAAGUCCAAAGAUUUAUCGCCCAGGGAUGAGCCCGCGUAGGAUUAGCUAGUUGGUGAGGUAAAGGCUCACCAAGGCGACGAUCCUUAGCUGGUCUGAGAGGAUGAUCAGCCACACUGGGACUGAGACACGGCCCAGACUCCUACGGGAGGCAGCAGUAGGGAUAUUGGACAAU
rnacentral:rRNA from 1 species